AACCUCGUAGCUCAGUUGGCUAGAGCUAAAGCCUCCCCUUUGCUGGCGUGGGUUCGAAUCCCACCGAGUUUU
rnacentral:tRNA from 1 species